GGGGAAUAUUGGACAAUGGGCGGAAGCCUGAUCCAGCCAUGCCGCGUGUGUGAAGAAGGCCUUUUGGUUGUAAAGCACUUUAAGCGAGGAGGAGGCUACUUAGAUUAAUACUCUAGGAUAGUGGACGUUACUCGCAGAAUAAGCACCGGCUAACUCUGUGCCAGCAGCCGCGGUAAUACAGAGGGUGCGAGCGUCAAUCGGAUUUACUGGGCGUAAAGCGUGCGUAGGCGGCUGAUUAAGUCGGAUGUGAAAUCCCUGAGCUUAACUUAGGAAUUGCAUUCGAUACUGGUCAGCUAGAGUAUGGGAGAGGAUGGUAGAAUUCCAGGUGUAGCGGUGAAAUGCGUAGAGAUCUGGAGGAAUACCAAUGGCGAAGGCAGCCAUCUGGCCUAAUACUGACGCUGAGGUACGAAAGCAUGGGGAGCAAAC
rnacentral:rRNA from 1 species